GCCCCGUUGGUCUAUUGGCAAGGAUAGCAGGCUUUCAAUCUGCUGAUGAGGGUUCGAUUCCCUCACGGGGUAC
rnacentral:tRNA from 1 species